UCACAUGACUAGGCGGAUUAAUUUUUUUUUCUACACCGGACAUCCGGUAAAGGGUUGGCGUCGCUGGAACGAUCCUGCUGCGGCGCAAUAUGGUGGCUAUUAAUCUCUAGCCUAUCCUGCCUUCCUUGAACUAUCGACAUGCGGCACCGACUCAGAGACAGCGCUAAUCUAGUUGUGGCCCCAGUACAAUUACGCCGGUCUGUCCGUGGGGCUCGGCUGAAAGCCGGGAAGGCGAUGAGUCCCAGUAGGGAAGCGCCCAAGGAAGCGGAAAGUUCCUCGCUUUGUCACAUAGACGUAAAUAUAAGCGAGAAGGUGGCAGCCGGCCAUACGGAAGAAUGUACAGAAUUGGAUAUAGACGGGGAGGGGGCGGCCCACUGGUGGCACCAACAUGAGGUGCUCGGGGAAGAGGAACAGUUCGCGGAACUUUUUCAGCAACUGGUGGGUUCUGUGGAUCUCACUGGUACAAUUGACAGUUCUACCCCCCAGGCGGACAGCAAAAUGGCCGCCACGUCUGGAAGGAAAGCAAAAGGCCGUUGCCCCGAUAACAAGAACGCCGUGGCGGCGCGCCUCAACCGCCUGCGUAAGAAAGAAUACGUGCGCGGUCUGGAGAACCAGGUGACGCGCCUCUCGGAAGAGAACAAGAGUCUGCAGUACGAGCGGAAGUCUCUCUGCUCCCGGGUACGCGAUCUGGAAGGGGAGGUGCACUACCUGCGGGCGGUGCUGGCCAAUGACAGCGCGCUGUCCCUAGUGCUGAGCCGCCUGACUGGCCUGGGAGGGACACGCCUAUCGACGUCACUUUUCUCUGAGCCGCACGGAAGUGGAGGAGACCACGACUACGCGUUGCCCCUGACAACCGGCCGCAGCGAGCAGGAAGCGAAUGAAGGCGGGGGCGUGUGUCUGCAUGUGGACAGGGACAAGCUGUCGGUGGAGUUCUGCGCUGUCUGCGCCAGGAGCGCCUCUUCUGCGGGCAAAAUUUUCUUUUUUAGGUGGUUUCUGGCCUUUCUCUGCAGCCGCAGUUAAAGAGCAGUCGCUUUCCGCCUCGCACCCUGUGGAUUCAGCUGUAUUGGGGAGAAGACUCUGGACCCGCUGCUGGCCACAUUUCCUGCUUUGUAUUAUAAGGUAGUAUGGUACAAAUGGAGACUGAGCUCCAAGCCACAGACUGCAAGUUGCAUAUGGAAUCCUGAACCUUUGUGGAUUUCAGACAGACCAAAGUGUUUGUGCUCAUUCCCAACCUGUGCUGUGUGAAGCAAUGAGGGAUCAGUAGUAGCACUAAAUCCGUUAUAUACGUGCUUCAGGGGAUAGAGACUUGUUUAAUAUCAGGCCCUAUGCACUAGUGGGGCAGCAGUUUGUUAGGCCCCACCCACUAAUUAUAAUCACUCAACUUGGGGGUUCUGUGCUCCUCUUCGGUGAAAAGUGCCCAACCCAGAGGUGCUGUUCCAUUGAGUGCCAUGCUGCUAUCCUGGGGGCUGUCCCGUAGCUUCCUGGGGGCUGUCCCCGGACCCUACUCACACACAGUAUGGUAACAAGACAUGGCAGAAGGUAGUUGGCUGGUUCACUUCCCCCCCCAAUGGAAAAAGGCCCCAAAUAAGUAAUUCCCACUGGUCCUGGUCUCAUUUGUUAAGUAGCCACUUUCUGGUCCGGAAUCCCUGUCCCAAGCAAUGGUUUUCUGCAGGAAGUGUGCAUAUGAUUGUGUAAAGGCACUACUGUGCUGUGCGUGCAGCUAAACAAAACAAAAUCAGGUCUAAGCAGGGAGCUUGAAGCCUAAAAACCCCUGUAUUGAAGCCAUGUUUGUUGAAGGGACAGUGCUCCGAAUACAGAACAGUCUAGAAAAUGAAACUAAGAUAAAUUAAAUCCACUGAGAGACACUAUGAAGCAGCAAGCGGACUUACAGCAACUACUGUAUUGGGAUAAUCUAGAAAGCAUAUUAUUUCACUAUAAUGUAUAGCACAGACCAGCCUGCUGCCAGGAAGUACCUGAACCCUGUUUUAACCCUUUAAGUGCCAGCCGAAUUCGUCAUUUCGGUUCCCCCCAGUGCCAGACGUUUUUUAAGCAUUUUGUACUCAUUCACUUUAACAACGUUUUUUGGUAGGAAAACCUCCACGAAACUAGGGAAAUUAUAUAUCGUUUUUUUCGUCACUAAUUGGGCUUCGACAUACAUACCAAAUUUUAUAACUUUUCUGGAGAUAUGAUGUGUAUUUUGGGUGAAAUAUGUAAAAAAAAAAUAAAAUUAUGAAAAAUUUCUGUA